UACGUAGGGUGCGAGCGUUUGUCCGGAAUUAUUGGGCGUAAAGAGCUUGUAGGCGGUUUGUCGCGUCUGCUGUGAAAAUCCGGGGCUCAACCCCGGACUUGCAGUGGGUACGGGCAGACUAGAGUGUGGUAGGGGAGACUGGAAUUCCUGGUGUAGCGGUGAAAUGCGCAGAUAUCAGGAGGAACACCGAUGGCGAAGGCAGGUCUCUGGGCCACUACUGACGCUGAGGAGCGAAAGCGUGGGGAGCGAAACAGG
rnacentral:rRNA from 1 species